GGUUGUGGCUCAGUGGUAGAGGACUCGCCUAGAGCAAUAGAGGCACUGGGUUCAAUCCUCAGCACCA
rnacentral:tRNA from 1 species